rnacentral:rRNA from 1 species
CCUACGGGUGGCAGCAGUGAGGAAUAUUGGUCAAUGGACGAGAGUCUGAACCAGCCAAGUCGCGUGAAGGAUGACGGCGCAAUGGGUCGCAGACUUCUUUUAUCAGGGGAUAAAACGAGGGACGCGUGCCUUUCUGAAUGUACUUUAUGAAUAAGGAUCGGCUAACUCCGUGCCAGCAGCCGCGGUAAUACGGAGGAUGCGAGCGUUAUCCGGAUUCAUUGGGUUUAAAGGGAGCGUAGCGGGGUUGUUAAGCCAGUGGUGAAAAUUGGCGGCUCAACCGUACAAGGGCAGUUGAUACUGGGAGCCUUGAGUGCAGUGGAGGUAUGCGGAAUGCGUGGUGUAGCGGUGAAAUGCUUAGAUAGCGCGCAGAACCCCGAUUGCGAAGGCAGCUUGCUGUGCUGUGACUGACGUUGAGGCUCGAAAGUGUGGGUAUCGAACAGGAUUAGAUACCCUGGAAGCC